GAACGCUGGCGGCGUGCCUACUACAUGCAAGUCGAGCGAACAGACGAGGAGCUUGCUCCUCUGACGUUAGCGGCGGACGGGUGAGUAACACGUGGAUAACCUACCUAUAAGACUGGGAUAACUUCGGGAAACCGGAGCUAAUACCGGAUAAUAUAUUGAACCGCAUGGUUCAAUAGUGAAAGACGGUUUUGCUGUCACUUAUAGAUGGAUCCGCGCCGCAUUAGCUAGUUGGUAAGGUAACGGCUUACCAAGGCAACGAUGCGUAGCCGACCUGAGAGGGUGAUCGGCCACACUGGAACUGAGACACGGUCCAGACUCCUACGGGAGGCAGCAGUAGGGAAUCUUCCGCAAUGGGCGAAAGCCUGACGGAGCAACGCCGCGUGAGUGAUGAAGGUCUUCGGAUCGUAAAACUCUGUUAUUAGGGAAGAACAAAUGUGUAAGUAACUAUGCACGUCUUGACGGUACCUAAUCAGAAAGCCACGGCUAACUACGUG
rnacentral:rRNA from 1 species